AUUGAACGCUGGCGGCAGGCCUAACACAUGCAAGUCGAGCGGAUGAAGGGAGCUUGCUCCUGGAUUCAGCGGCGGACGGGUGAGUAAUGCCUAGGAAUCUGCCUGGUAGCGGGGGAUAACGUCCGGGAACGGGCGCUAAUACCGCAUACGUCCUGCGGGAGAAAGUGGGGGAUCUUCGGAGUUCACGCUAUCAGAUGAGCCUAGGUCGGAUUAGCUAGGUGGGGGGGUAAAGGCCUACCAAGGCGACGAUCCGUAACUGGUCUGAGGGGAUGGUCAGGCAACCUGGAGCUGGUACACGGUCCAGACUCCUACGGGAUGCACCAGUGGGGAAUGUUGGACCAUGGUCGAAAGCCUUAUCCAGCCCUGCCGCGUGUGUGAAGACGGUCUUCGGAUUGUAAAGCCCUUUAAGUUGUUGGGAAGGGCAUUAAGUUAAUACCUUGCUGUAUUGACGUUACCAACAGAAUAAGCACCGGCUAACUUCGUG
rnacentral:rRNA from 1 species